AGAGUUUGAUCCUGGCUCAGGAUGAACGCUAGCGACAGGCCUAACACAUGCAAGUCGAGGGGCAGCACAAGGUAGCAAUACUUGGGUGGCGACCGGCGGACGGGUGAGUAACACGUAUGCAACCUGCCCGUAAUCGGGGGAUAACCCGGAGAAAUUCGGACUAAAACUCCAUGAAUCUGAGAUAUCGCAUGAUAAAACAGAAAAACGCAAGGAUUACGGAUGGGCAUGCGGAUGAUUAGCUAGUUGGAGGGGUAACGGCCCGCCAAGGCGACGAUCAUUAGGGGUUCUGAGAGGAAGGUCCCCCACAUUGGAACUGAGAGACGGUCCAAACUCCUACGGGAGGCAGCAGUGAGGAAUAUUGGUCAAUGGGCGAGAGCCUGAACCAGCCAAGUCGCGUGAAGGAAGAAGGUCUUAUGGAUUGUAAACUUCUUUAGCAGAGGGAUAAAGGUUAUUACGAGAUAAUAAUUUGCAGGUACUCUGCGAAAAAGGAUCGGCUAANNUCCGUGCCAGCAGCCGCGGUAAUAC
rnacentral:rRNA from 1 species